rnacentral:rRNA from 1 species
UGCAGUCGAGCGCNCGCAAGGGGAGCUUGNNACGGNUGANNAACGCGUGGGACCGUACCUUUUGGUACGGAAUAACUCACGGAAACUUGUGCACAUACCGUAUGUGCCCUUCGGGGAAACCAUUUAUCGGCAAAGGAUCGGCCCGCGUUGGAUUAGCUAGUUGGUGAGGUAAAGGCUCACCAAGGCGACGAUCCAUAGCUGGCCUGACAGGAUGAUCACCCACACUGGGACUGAGACACGGCCCAGACUCCUACGGGAGGCAGCACUGGGGAAUAUUGGACAAUGGGCGCAAGCCUGAUCCAGCCAUGCCGCGUGAGUGAUGAAGGCCCUAGGGUUGUAAAGCUCUUUCACCGGUGAAGAUAAUGACGGUUACCGGAGAAGAAGCCCCGGCUAACUUCGUGCCAGCANNNNCGGUAAUA